rnacentral:rRNA from 1 species
CCUACGGGUGGCAGCAGUGAGGAAUAUUGGUCAAUGGACGCGAGUCUGAACCAGCCAAGUCGCGUGCAGGAUGACGGCUCUAUGAGUUGUAAACUUCUUUUGUACGAGAGUAAACGCAGAUACGCGUGUCUGUCUGAAAGUAUCGUACGAAUAAGGCUCGGCUAACUCCGUGCCAGCAGCCGCGGGAAUACGGAGGAUUCAAGCGUUGUCCGGAUUUAUUGGGGUUAAAGGGUGCGUAGGCGGGAGGAUAAGUUAGAGGUGAAAUCCCGGGGCGCAAAUGCGGACUUGCCGUUGAUACUGGUAGGCUAGAGAGUACGUGAGGUAGGCGGAAUGUAUGGUGUAGCGGUGAAAUGCUUAGAGAUCACACAGAACACCGAUUGCGAAGGCAGCUUACCAAGCUACUUCUGACGUUGAGGCACGAAAGCGUGGGGAGCAAACAGGAUUAGAUACCCUGGUAGUC